UGCCAAGUAUUCCUUGAUAUACAUCCUGUUAAUGUAAAGCAGCUGUAUAAUUCAAAAUAUACAACUUGUUUUUCUCAGCAAUUUUAACACUCUAAAGGAUGCCAAUGACUGUAUUGACAUACAAUUUUCUUUAUAAAAGGAGUGUAAGGAAAGGAAACCAAACGCUAGCUAAAAAUACAUUGCACUUACAAUAUACUCCAGCAUUCAAAGCUGUUGAAGCAUUUAAUGAAGCUAUCAAAAGAAGAGCGCCUUCGAAGCUGAAGGUUUUCUGGAAGUAUCCAGGCCUUCCUUCUCUUAGGCAUGAAGUGGAAAGUGACUUAGUUUCCUGCCAAACUUCUUUGCAUUUCUACCUACAGCGUUGGGCUAUAAGGCUACAGCCACCUUAGUUUUCCUCUUACCCUGCUCCAAGAAUUAUCCAUUUUGUGGAGCAUGAUAAAGCUGCUCUUGAUGCUUUCUGCUUUUGAAGCUGAGCUGACCCAAAAUUUCACCCCCCAAAACCUUUCCAUCAGUCUGACUCUUUGGAAUGUGUUUUUAUAAGCUGCAUGAUUUUAUUUAAGCUUUUCCAUGCUUUUUGACGUUUUCCUACAGAAAGACAGUACAGGGUGCACUUUGUCACCAAAAAUAUCUGUUGAAAUAUCAUUUCAUGUGAGUGACUAAGACGAUACGCCACCUCUGGAAAAAAUAAAUCAGCAGCCUAGCUUACAGCUGGAGAGAAAAAUGUUUGGAGGGAAACUGCCUUUCUGAGAAGAAGUUAAAGACUUUGUGGAGCCAGCCAACUGGAAUAGCAGAGGGACCUUGAUCCUGCUCCUGCUUACUGAGAACUUUCAGUACUUCAUCCAGGUCCUCUACUGAACUUUGGAUUCAAGCAGAAAUAUUCCUGCUGUUCCAUCACUUCCAAGGGAUUCUACUUCCCUGUGAUACCAGCUCUUAUCUGCUCCUGCACCAGUCUCACUUUCCUUGUCUGCUUCACUAGCCUCUUGUUUUAAAUGAGUUUAGGUAGCAGGACCUGGGAAUGCUCAGCCUUUGCAACAGAGCUGAGCAGAUAACUGUUCAAAGGACACUUGCUUUUCAGUUACUGCAGGAAGAGUGACACUGUGCUUUCUGUGCUUACUUCUGGGCAGCUCAGAACUAUGUGUUGUACACAGAUCUUCUGGCUUUGCACUCAUACUCACGCUUUCUGCAAGGGAUGAAACUUGGACUGAGAUUUGAACUGAGUUUUGCUCUGAAAACUUAGUGGAUUUUUUAGUAGCUAUAUGCAAGUUCUGCAGGAGUGUUUAAAGGUGUCUCAGUUUGGGAUGGGCUACAUUUUUAUGUUAUGUGCCACAUUUCAUUGUAAGUUAAAGUGAUAUCAGCCCAAAAUGACAUAGUUGCUCUGCAUGUCAGGAUAGCUCACUGAAGCUAAGGGACAGUCUGUUCCAUAAAGAAAAAGGUUAAGAUGGGGGAAGAGUUUUUUAAAAGGCAGAGGCUUUGUUGCUGUUGUUUUUAGCAGCAGUAUGAGUAAAAAUACUUUGUGUCAAAAAUAAGAAAGCUAAUGCAAAUAAUUUAGUACAUAACAUAGUUUUUUUUCCAAAUGCCUUUUUUUUUUCUUAUUUUUAGCAUUGUAUUUUUUUGCCUUACUUGCCAGUUAAGAUUCAUGAGUGACUGUAAGGAAGAGAUCUUGUAUAAUGCCGGACUCAUUUCUAGCAAUAAUACAGUUUUCUGCUAAUACAUUUGGAAAGGCUGGAACAAAGACCAAAAAAGGAGCAGGAUGUACUUGGAGUGGUGUUCAGGACAACAGCAGCGGUAUCUUCUCCAUCAAGUGAUAUAGACAUAUGCAUCAUAAACUUAAGCCAGUGUAUCUGAAGACUUAUUGUACAGCCCUCUGUGGCCCUCAGUCACCAUCAUCACUGUUGAAGAUCCCAAUCCCAGCCAUUCCAGGUGGCUAGGCAAGAAACUCCAAGGCAGCAGCCAGAUGAAUCUCACAACUGCAGCAAACAGACACCCUCUUGUGAUGUAUGUCUUCCCCUGUUCUGCUCUUGUGCUCCUGUUCCCAAAGCUUCACUCAGACCCACCUGAGAAGCGUUUGUGAAUGUUAUGAAGAGACUUAUCCUAAAUGUCUAGGCUCGUUCCUGGAAAGGCUGAGCCAAGGUUUGAGCCUUAUGCAAAAUGAAGGAUCAAGAAAGUGUGCAUGAGGCAGACUUUGGAAUGGGAGCACUUUGGAAUUGACCGUUCACAUGAUCUUGAAGCUGCAGUAAUAACACUGCAUUACAGACUCAAGAGAUCAACGUCUUUCUGAACAGUCAAAGCUAACAUGAAUUUUGGAGUCAUCUUUUAAACAGUAAACCACCGUCAGUCCUAGUGGUAAUUCAGACUUUAUGCUGGCACUGUUCCCAUUGAAUUUAGUGACAUUUUUGAGUGAGUAAUGAUUAAAAAUUGAGUAUGGACAUGAGGAUUUCUUCCAUAUUCUAUAAUGUUGAGACAAAGCAUGCUGCCUUGUCACCCCCAGAAAUGCAUGUUUUUCUGGUGAGAAUUCCCAGUCUGAUGUAUAGUUUUAGUGACCUCUUCACACUCCCUUCCAAACACAGUGAACUGAGGAGUUACUUAUGGCAGACACUUUAGGCUGAGGAGUUCUUUUCAUGCCUGUCUCUAGGAUACAACUUAACAGUUGUCAUUUGAGAUUUCUUAAGUUUCAUGGGUGAGAGGACUAACAAAAAAAUUCUUCAUCUUAGCGAUGUAAGAAGCAUCAGACAUUUUCCCAAUAAAUUUUACUCUUAGCGGAACAUUAUUACAUGAAAUGGAUACACAGAAUUGACAUGGAAAUAUGUUAAACAGUCACAUGAAAUUCUCUGGAAAAAUACAAAAGAUCAGCUACACUUCAUUUUGUGAGAACUAUUUUUCUGUGCAUACCACUUUACUGGAGUAUUGAAGUUUUCCUGAAAGACUCCUUUUUACUUUCAGAGCUUUAUAAAAUGAGCAUCACAUUUUAUCUUCACAUUGCCUGUUCAAAGCAUGAAGUAUGUUUUCUGAGGUUUCUGCUUCAGAAUGCUGUACUGAUUCCAGUUCAACUCGCCUGUGUCCAUAAAGUAAGUCAAAAUUAAUUUUUGAAUCAGUACAGAUUAAAGGAUUAUUUUCUUUGUUCAACAAUACUUAUCUUCAACCCUUUGGAUUAGUCAGAGAUGUAGAUAUACAAUUCCUAUUAGAAUAAUCACUCAAGAGACUAUGGCUUGACUAGGAACAAUCCUUUAUCCUCCCUUCCUAAGAACAUUUCUACACUCUGAAAGUCAAAUUCUAUUUCCUACCGACAUAAAUCUCUUAUGUUUUCUUAAUAUUUGGUGGUAUAGUUAAUGUGAUACUUGUGGAUUAUACCAAGGUAUCCAGUAACAACUGCUAUAUAUGCGAUAGGAAUGUUACGAGCAAUGCAGAUGACAUGUCUAGAUUAAGGCUGCCUGAUUGCCUUCAUAUUAGCUUUUAAGUUUUUCCCUUGGCCAUACUCCAAGCUAAAAUUUUCUGGUUCUGAGACUGUCACACUGCUUAUUUUUAUGGAAAUUUCAGACAAAAAAUAGUUGUGAAGGUUGUUUCUGAAUUUCUGAGUUUGGAAUGGGCCCAUCUCACAUCAAAUUUUUCCAACUCAUACUUAAAUGCUGUUCUACGGAAGAUUUUGUGCCCUCAUUUUUAAAACAAAUUUUUACAAUUCCCAUCUUGCCAAAUCAGCAAUGGUACUUUGUAAAGAUCCAACCCUUGGAAAAAUCAGAGAUAUUCAAAAUUAAUUGAUAGCAACUUUGCAAAUAAUUUGUUUGACUUGGUGGCAGUUCCACCUCAGUCUUUAACAAUGCAACCUUUAGCUGGUUGCUGAAGCACCAGCCUCAGAGAGCCAUGGAGCACAUCACUCCCUCACCACUGUAUUGAACUCGGUGUCCGAAUUCAUGAUGCCUAGAGGCAACCGUGAAACCCAGAGGGAAGUGUAGGCCUAUCCUUGUCCAAAGCCAGAGUCACCAUUCAGCCACUGCUUCCUUUGUCUCUGCAGACUCCAGCAGAUGUCUGUGUGAUGAUCCAACCAGUUCAUAAAUGUGGUUUGAUAGGAGGGAAUUUCUGUGUCUUUUUUUUUUUUUUUUUUUAUAAAAGGUAUUUUAUACUCUGUGUGAGUCUCUGCAUAAUGAGGUUUGAUACAAGACCUUCAAUGACUUGUGCUCUUUAUACUAUCAGUCUGAUUGUGUGGAGGGUUUAUCUUGCUGUUAUAGAGUUCAGAAGUUCAGUGAGAAGUCAACUCUUCUUCCUAAUAUGGCUUUAAGAUGGCAACACUGACUUAAACAUCACAGUCUAUACCUGAAUUUAGUACAUUCUAUCUUCUCUUGUUUCUGUGUAAUAAAUAGACUCAAGGUCCUCAAAUUAUUCAUUAAUUCUUGAAUUUUAAGUACUCUUCGUACUUUCCACAUUCAUUCUUUAGCAACAUGUUGAACUGGGAAGCAAAGUAGCAACUUGCUAUCAAAGAAAAAGUUAUGUACUCAUAGAGAGUUUAAGUAGGAAACACUGAAGGAACCUUGGAAAGGUUACAUAGAGAGUAACACUUAACGGAAGAGAAAUCUGUUCAGACUUAUCAGAAUGGCAUGUGAACUCUGAUAUAUCUUACAUUUACUGUCUCUAUAACAAACAACAUUUGUGCAUGUUUUGUUCAUUUUGGUCUUUGGUCUUCGCCUCUAGAUCUUAUUAACUUUAGACUUGCUUUUAGAAGAGGAAGAGUCACAUUCUGGAAAUGCUUGUGUCUCUGUCUUAACAGUAGAAGACAAUCCAAGGCUAGCUAAGACUUUUAAGACUAGCUUAUAAGAUAAGUGAGAAAAGUUCUACCUAGAGUUUUUAUAGCUACUGUAACUUGGUGGUCCAACACAACUGGAAUUCUCUAAAAUCUUACUUUCCUACUUGACAUCUUUUUUUUUUUUUCCUUAGCAACACUAGUUUUAAAGUGUUUAUAGUUCUUAUCCUUUUCCUCAUGUUAAUAGAGAAAAAAAAUAAACCUUUUCUUUUAACCUCAGAAAGUAUGCUUCUUGACAUCUUUGUAAAUUGAUGUGAAGUUGUAGAAUGGACCUAAUAAAGGAAUGUCCAUAAUACAAUAUAGUUUGGUUGACAUGAUCCUGUGCCGUGACCUGGUUACCUCUUUUAAAAUGCACAAACAUACACCAAAUC